rnacentral:rRNA from 1 species
GACGAACGCUGGCGGCGUGCCUAACACAUGCAAGUCGAACGGAAAGGUCCUGCUUUGGGGCGGUGCUCGAGUGGCGAACGGGGGAGUAACACGUGGGUACCCAGUCCCUGACCUAGGGAGAACUUAAGGAAACUUGGGCUCUUACCGGAUAGGAUCUCUUGCUUCAUGGUGGGGGUGGGUAAGAUUCGGCGGUUGGGGAUGGACUCGCGUAGUAUCAGGUUGUUGGUGGGGUAGUGUCUUACCAAGGCUUUGACACGUAGCCGUCCUGGGCGGGUCACCGGCCACGUUGGGACUGGGAUACGGCACAGCCUACUACGGGAGGCAGCAGUGGAGUAUGUUGCACAAUGGGCGGAAGCCUGAUGCAGCAACGCCGCGUGCCGGGUGACGGCCUUCGGGUAGUAAACCGAAUUCGCCUGUGACGAAGCGAGAGUGACGGUAAUGGGUAAAGAAGCACCGGCUAACUACGUG